rnacentral:rRNA from 1 species
GUUGUAUGGUUAAGUGACUAAGCGUACACGGUGGAUGCCUUGGCAGUCAGAGGCGAUGAAGGACGUAUUAACUUGCGAUAAGCCCAGAUUAGGUAGUAAAAACCAUUUGAGUCUGGGAUUUCCGAAUGGGGAAACCCAAUACCAUAAGGUAUUACUGUUGAGUGAAUACAUAGCUCAACAGGGCGAACCGGGGGAACUGAAACAUCUAAGUACCCCGAGGAAAAGAAAUCAACCGAGAUUCCGAAAGUAGCGGCGAGCGAAAUUGGACUAGCCCUUAAGCUUUACACGCGUUAGACGAACGGUCUGGAAAGGCCGACGAUACAGGGUGAUAGUCCCGUAGUUGACGACGUGUGUUCAGUGAAAUCGAGUAGGGCGGGACACGUGAUAUCCUGUCUGAAUAUGGGGGGACCAUCCUCCAAGGCUAAAUACUACUGACUGACCGAUAGUGAACCAGUACCGUGAGGGAAAGGCGAAAAGAACCCCUGUGAGGGGAGUGAAAUAGAACCUGAAACCGUGUACGU